rnacentral:rRNA from 1 species
UACGUAGGGAGCAAGCGUUGUCCGGAAUCAUUGGGCGUAAAGCGCGCGUAGGUGGCUUCAUAAGUCCGCUGUGAAAGUCUAAGGCUCAACCUUUGAAAGCCGGUGGAUACUGUGAAGCUAGAGUACGGAAGAGGCGAGUGGAAUUCCUGGUGUAGCGGUGGAAUGCGCAGAUAUCAGGAGGAACACCAAUAGCGAAGGCAGCUCGCUGGGACGUUACUGACACUGAGGCGCGAAAGCGUGGGGAGCGAACAGG